GGAUUUAAAAGUAGAAAACCAAGACUAGGCACAGUCACUUCACAGCAACAGGUCAACAUGUCAGGGAUCAGAUCACAUGACCAACUACAGUUAAAGGUUGCCA